rnacentral:tRNA from 1 species
GUGGGUAUGCCGGAGUGGUUAUCGGGCAUGACUAGAAAUCAUGUGGUCUUUGCCCGCA